rnacentral:lncRNA from 1 species
CAGUGCUCUGCACAUAGUAAGCGCUUAACAAAUGCCAACAUUAUUAUUAUUACAAUGCUCUGCACAAUAAAUGCUACCGAUCGAACCACAACCGUCAACUUGGAUAUUUCUCUCUCUGCUUGGGAAGUCUUGAGGGGUUAAUCGAGCAUCUUUCCCCAUUCACCCCCAGCUGCAGCGGCGGCAACCAGAGUUUGUUGCUCUACUCUCGAUGGAAUGGUCCAGGACGCCAAUCCUUGCUUAGUGACCAAGUGACUGGUAGCAGCUGGGGGUUUCCUGGAGCCUCUAAUACAGCCUGUGCAGCUCCGGACUUCUGGUAGGGAAAGAGGCCGAACUCUUCUAGGCAAGGCUGGUCAGAGAGAAGCGGCCUUGCCCGAAGAUUGACGUUGGUUUUCUCUGCGUCACUGCUUUGGAACCAUUCUAAAGUGGAAGAGGAAGGCAGCAGACCCGAAUUCCCUCUCCGUAAACCUGGGGUUGCCCGCCCACCUGAUCCAUCGCCACAAGUCCCAGCCAGCCUAUACCACCUACGUUUCUCCGAUGGUCAGGAGAUUUCUCCAACGCUCCCCUCCGGAACCGGAACUCCCCAAGACGGGCGGCCCGCCUGAAAUGGCCCAAGAAAGGCAGGAAGCAGAGAGUGAGGGGCCGCCCCAGUCAGCGCUCAGCCCUCAGAAUUCAGCGGCCGUCCCCCGGGGCCUGGAGCCUGACCCAGAACUCUUCCCUUCUGUCACCUUCUCCCUCCGCCCGGCCCAGGAAGUGAUCAGCCUGAGAGUUGCCCCAAAAGACAGUCCGGCCAAAAUCAGAUACGGAAACAACUCCGGAAUCCUUCUGGCAGCGGUUUUCCUGUGAGGGGCAGUUAGGUGGUGACGGCAGUUCGGCCUGAGAGUUUGCUCCUCGGAGACGUUUUUAGCUUCCUUUCUAACAGCUGAUUUGGUUCAAAGGGAUCCGGUCAAGGGAUCCGGCCCAAAGGCGGGGAGUUUGGGAACUGCUCUAGGGAAACUGCCGGGUGGCAGGAAUUCCUCAGGAGAUAGAGAUUGUCGAUCAAAUCCCUUUGCACUCCCCACUGGAUUCUAGGUCAUUUCUCGGCGUCUUGAGGAGGAGAUUGUUCUGGACUGUAAGGUCAUUGUGGGCAGGGGACAAGUCUACCGACUCUGUUGCAUUUUACUUUCCCAAGCGCUUAGUAUGGUGCUCUGCACAUUUUUCACUCAAAAGAUACCAUCGAUCGAUUGCUAUUAUUAUUAGAAGCGGCAUGGAGUAGUGGAUUGAGUACUGUUCUGGGAGUCAGGUGGUCAUGAGUUCUAAUCCUGACUCUGCCAUCUGUCUGCUGUUUGACCUUGAUCAGUCACUUCUGGGUGCCUCAGUUACCUCCUCUGUAAAAUGGGGAUGAGGACCGUGAGCCUCACAUGGGACGGAGACUGUGUCCAGCCCAAUUUGCUGCAUCCACCCCAGUGCUUAGUUCAGUGCCUGGCCCCCAGUAAGCGCUUAACAAAUGCCAUCAUCAUUAUUAUUAAUUAUUAUUAUGAUUUUAGAGCCUCUCUACUGCUAGAUUUUAUUUCCUUUUGACUUGAAAUCUCUGAAUGCCUCCUCCUUCACCCUCCAAAAUUCAGAGUCCCUCACACAGCAAGAACUCAGAAUGUGCACUUAUGGCUGACUGUUUAAUUAAUCCAAAAGGAUAUUUGAGCUGCAGAUUUCUGCUGGAGGGCAAGCCCAGAAACCGUGUAGAAACCUCCAGGGAAAUCCUGUUCUUGUGAAACACCCAGCUCAGUUUUGCCGAUACAAGAUGUGCAGUAAAUCUGGAGAAAGUGCAGGGAAACACCCAAACUUUAAGGAGCUCUCUUAAGCGAGCCUUUAGAGGUUUAUGCAUCACUUCCCAAAUAUUUUUAUGGUUUUCGGAGCCAGAAAGAAGAAAAAAAAAGACAAACACGUUUUCUCUUUUUCCUAAACAAUAAGGGGCCUUCAGGCUUCCAGAACAGUAACAGAGAAGGUCACAAGUAUUCCAGUGCCAGAUAGGAUGUCCAUACAUCUCGCUUUGGCUCGAGCAAUCCUGGAUUUCUGUAGGCUGAACCGGGCAACGUGAGUAAAAUAUCCCAGUGUCCUGGAAUUGGAACGGUCCCAGCCCAGUUGGUCAACCCACCCUUUACUCAUCCUCUGCUGCUCUUGCUCACUUUGGAGAAGCAGCUUGGCCUAGUCGAAAGUGCACGUGCUUGGGAAUCGGACGACCUGGAUUCUAAUCCGGGCUCUGCCACUUGUCUGCUGUGUGACUUUGGGCAAGCCACUUAAUUUCUCCGUGCCUCAGUUACCUCAUCUGUAAAAUGGGGAUUGAGACUGUGAGCCCCAUGAGCAAAAGGGAUUGAUCACGACCCGAUUUGCUCGUAUCCGCCCCAGCACUUAGUACAGUCCUUGGCAUAUAGUAAGUGCUUAACGAAUGCCCCGGUUAUUAUUAUUACUAUAGUUAUUAUUAUGUAGUACGGGACCGGGUCCAACCUGAUGGGCUAGUAACUACCUCAGCACUCAGUACAGUGCCUGGCAAAUGGCCAGUGUUUAACAAAGGCCUUAAAAAAAAAAAGAAUUGGGGUAGGGUUAGGAAAGGGGAAAUGUUCUCAAACUGAGGUGUGCACUAAGUGACGUGAACUAAAUAACAUGACCUGCUUAGUUGGGAUUUCUCCCAAACCCUCAGGGGUAGAAAACUUUCUGGGAACCCCUAGAUAUGGUGAACGGUGAAUCUUCAAGAGUCCUUAACAAAUACCAUUAAAAAACCGAUUAAUAUCGAUGGACUGAUAGAAAAUCUAGCCGAGGAGGGUCGAUGGGCCUGGAUCAAAAGGAGCAACCUUACGCGUGUGUGUUUGGGGGAGAUAGGGGCCAGGGAGAGGACACCAAUCAAUUAAGCGAUGGUAAUUACCCAG